AAGACUAUACUUUCAGGGAUCAUUUCUAUAGUUCGUGACUAGAGAAGUUUCUCUGACCGUGUAGAGCACCGAAAACCACGAGGAGGAGGCGCAGCAUUCUCUCCUGAGCGUGAAGCCGGCUCCCGGCGCUGCCUCGCUGCAGCUGCCGCUUGUCAUUGAUGAUCGUUCUUCUCUGCCCUCGGGCGGAGCGAGAGGGAGAGAGUGCAGUCUGAGUGGC
rnacentral:snoRNA from 15 species